UUCUUGGACCGCAGCAGGACGGACUACAGCGAAAGCAUUUGCCAAGCGCGUCUUCAUUAAUCAAGAACGAAAGUCAGAGGUUCGAAGGCGAUCAGAUACCGCCCUAGUUCUGACCGUAAACGAUGCCAACUAGCGAUCCGCCGGCGGCUUCUCGGCCCUGGUGGGGAGCUUCCCGGAAACGAAAGUCUUCCGGUUCCGGGGGAAGUAUGGUUGCAAAGCUGAAACUUAAAGGAAUUGACGGAAGGGCACCACCAGGAGUGGAGCCUGCGGCUUAAUUUGACUCAACACGGGAAAACUCACCCGGCCCGGACACCGUGAGGAUUGACAGAUUGAUAGCUUUUUCAUGAUUCGGUGGUUGGUGGUGCAUGGCCGUUCUUAGUUCGUGGAUCGAUUUGUCUGGUUUAUUCCGAUAACGAGCGAGACUCCAGCCUACUAACUAGUGCGGGCAUUGCYUCUGUGCUUGUCACUUCUUAGAGGGAUUGGCUGCGUCUAGCGGCACGAAACGGAGCAAUAACAGGUCUGUGAUGCCCUUAGAUGUCCGGGGCUGCACGCGCGCUACACUGGCAAAGGCAGCGUGCUUGUCCGCCUCCGAAAGGAGCCGGUAAACCCUUGAAAAUUUGCCGUGAUUGGGAUCGGAAAUUGCAAUUAUUUUCCGUGAACGAGGAAUUCCUAGUAAGUGCGAGUCAUCAGCUCGCGUUGAUUACGUCCUG
rnacentral:rRNA from 1 species